GACGAACGCUGGCGGCGUGCUUAACACAUGCAAGUCGAACGGAAAGGCCCUGCUUUUGUGGGGUGCUCGAGUGGCGAACGGGUGAGUAACACGUGAGUAACCUGCCCUUGACUUUGGGAUAACUUCAGGAAACUGGGUCUAAUACCGGAUAGGAGCUCCUGCUGCAUGGUGGGGGCGGGAAAGUUUCGGCGGUUGGGGCUGGACUCGCGCCUUAUUAGCUUGUUGGUGUGGUAGUGGCUUACCAAGGCUUUGACGGGUAGCAGGCCUGAGAGGGUGACCGGCCCCAUUGGGAUUGAGAUACGGCCCAGACUCCUACCGGAGGCAGCAGUGGGGAAUAUUGCACAAUGGGCGGAAGCCUGAUGCAGUCACGCAGCGUGGGGGAUGACGGGCUUCGGGUAGUAUACCGCUUUCGCCUGUCACGAGGCGUGAGUGACGGUAAUGGGUAAAGAAGCACCGGCUAACUACGUG
rnacentral:rRNA from 1 species